GGUGAGUAACGCGUGAGCAACCUGCCUAUGACAGUGGGAUAGCCUCGGGAAACCGGGAUUAAUACCGCAUAAAAUCGUAGAAACACAUGUUUUAACGGUCAAAGAUUUAUCGGUCAUAGAUGGGCUCGCGUCUGAUUAGCUAGUUGGUGAGAUAACAGCCCACCAAGGCGACGAUCAGUAGCCGGUCUGAGAGGAUGAACGGCCACAUUGGAACUGAGACACGGUCCAA
rnacentral:rRNA from 1 species